rnacentral:rRNA from 1 species
GUGGGGAAUAUUGGACAAUGGGCGAAAGCCUGAUCCAGCCAUGCCGCGUGUGUGAAGAAGGUCUUCGGAUUGUAAAGCACUUUAAGUAGGGAGGAAGGGCAGUAAGUUAAUACCUUGCUGUUUUGACGUUACCAACAGAAUAAGCACCGGCUAACUUCGUGCCAGCAGCCGCGGUAAUACGAAGGGUGCAAGCGUUAAUCGGAAUUACUGGGCGUAAAGCGCGCGUAGGUGGUUUUGUAAGUUGGAGGUGAAAUCCCCGGGCUCAACCUGGGAACUGCCUCCAAAACUGCAUGACUAGAGUACGGUAGAGGGUAGUGGAAUUUCCUGUGUAGCGGUGAAAUGCGUAGAUAUAGGAAGGAACACCAGUGGCGAAGGCGACUACCUGGACUGAUACUGACACUGAGGUGCGAAAGCGUGGGGAGCAAACAGGAUUAGAAACCCGUGUAGUCC